GACGCAGACAGUAUUCUCGCGAGAAGUCUGGGAGGCGGCAGUGAUGGCGGCGGCGGGAACCGUACCCGGCCCGGGAGUGAAUGCAGGACCCGGCCCGGCAGUGGCUGCAAAUGCAACACCGGCAGAAGAAGGGGAAACGAAGCCGGUAGUAGCGGUAGCAGCCGCUCCGGCCGGGGAGGGGACGUCUGCUGCUCCAGCCGCGGAGCCUGGCUCUGGAGAGGCCGAAAGCGGGGACGCAAACUCAGUUGAUGUAAGUGGUGGCUUGGAGACAGAAUCCUCUAAUGGAAAGGAUACACUAGAAGGUGCUGGGGAUACUUCAGAGGUGAUGGAUACUCAGGCGGGCUCCGUGGAUGAAGAGAAUGGUCGCCAGUUGGGAGAGGUGGAGCUGCAGUGUGGAAUAUGUACCAAAUGGUUCACAGCAGACACCUUUGGCAUAGAUACCUCAUCCUGUCUACCUUUCAUGACCAACUACAGUUUCCACUGCAAUGUAUGCCAUCAUAGUGGGAAUACCUACUUCCUCCGGAAGCAAGCAAACUUGAAAGAAAUGUGCCUUAGUGCUUUGGCCAACCUAACCUGGCAGUCCCGAACACAGGAUGAACAUCCGAAAACCAUGUUCUCCAAAGAUAAGGAUAUCAUACCAUUUAUUGAUAAAUAUUGGGAGUGCAUGACGACCAGACAGAGACCUGGGAAAAUGACCUGGCCAAAUAACAUUGUUAAAACGAUGAGUAAAGAAAGAGAUGUAUUCUUAGUAAAGGAACACCCCGAUCCUGGGAGUAAGGACCCAGAAGAAGAUUACCCCAAAUUUGGCCUUCUGGAUCAGGAUCUUAGUAACAUUGGUCCUGCUUAUGACAACCAAAAACAAAGCAGUGCCGUGUCUACCAGUGGGAAUCUAAAUGGUGGAGCCUCUUUUGGAGGGGGAAUUGCAGCGGGAAGCAGUGGAAAAGGAAGAGGAGCUAAGCGCAAACAGCAGGAUGGCGGGGCCACGGGGACCACCAAGAAGGCCCGGAGUGACCCUUUGUUUUCUGCUCAGCGCCUUCCCCCUCAUGGCUACCCCUUGGAACACCCAUUUAACAAAGAUGGCUAUCGGUAUAUUCUAGCUGAGCCCGAUCCCCACGCCCCUGACCCUGAGAAGCUUGAACUCGACUGCUGGGCAGGAAAACCGAUUCCUGGAGACCUCUACAGAGCCUGCUUGUAUGAACGGGUUUUGUUAGCCCUACAUGAUCGAGCUCCCCAAUUAAAGAUCUCCGAUGACCGGCUGACUGUGGUUGGAGAGAAGGGCUACUCUAUGGUUCGGGCUUCUCAUGGGGUUCGGAAAGGUGCCUGGUACUUUGAAAUCACGGUGGAUGAGAUGCCGCCAGACACCGCUGCCAGACUGGGCUGGUCCCAGCCGUUAGGUAACCUUCAAGCUCCCUUAGGUUAUGAUAAAUUUAGCUAUUCUUGGCGGAGCAAAAAGGGGACCAAAUUCCACCAGUCCAUUGGCAAACACUACUCUUCUGGCUAUGGACAGGGAGAUGUCCUGGGAUUUUAUAUCAGUCUUCCUGAAGACACAGAGACAGCCAAGUCACUGCCCGAUACCUAUAAAGAUAAGGCUUUGAUAAAGUUCAAGAGUUAUUUGUAUUUUGAAGAAAAAGACUUUGUGGAUAAAGCAGAGAAGAGCCUAAAGCAGACUCCCCAUAGCGAGAUAAUUUUUUAUAAAAAUGGUGUCAAUCAAGGUGUGGCUUACAAAGAUAUUUUUGAGGGGGUUUACUUUCCGGCCAUCUCGCUGUACAAGAGCUGCACGGUCUCCAUUAACUUUGGACCAUGCUUCAAGUAUCCUCCAAAGGAUCUCAUGUACCGCCCUAUGAGUGACAUGGGCUGGGGCGCCGUGGUGGAACACACUCUGGCUGACGUCUUGUAUCACGUGGAAACAGAAGUGGAUGGGAGGCGGAGUCCCCCGUGGGAACCCUGACCAAGUCCCUUUUUCUUUGCAGACACGGACUUCCUGGGGAAUAAUAUGAGCGGGUUUUGUUUUUUAACUGUGACAAAUGUUUUCCUGAAGAUACUGCAGAACGUGGCCUCUGCUGUAGCAAAUUAGAGGCCGGGUGGGUCUGAGAGAGACUCCUUGCCCUUCAGCACUGUCCCUUCUAUCACGGCUUUUACUUCGUGUGCCAUUCCCAACAGCUGCCGACCCUGGGAUCCCAUAAGCGCCCUGUGAACUGGGCCUGUGCCAUGUACCCCACCAGCUAGACUUGCUGCUUACUGUGUUUUCUAAGGAAUGGGUAACCUUGCCCAAGUAGCUAACAUGUUUAAAGACAUGUCCUUCUGCGGGCAUUGCCUCCAUCCCACCUGGUUCCCAAGGAAGUGGUGGGCCUGUUUCUGAGAACAGCUGAAAUCCAUGGCUGUACAUUCCAAAUCAGUCUAACAGCUCUUCCCUUUCACCGUGGGUGUGUUUUUGUUAUUAAUUUUGAGGUGUACCUUCGAACACCGGGAUCUAUAGUAGAACUAUACUUGUGAAGGGAACUUGCUUGCAGCUUUAACAAUUAGAAACUCUUCCCAAAUAAAACUUGUCUUCGAGUGUGUGUGGCACUUUGCUUCCCUUUCAGGUUGGGGUCCAUGUGGCGACAGUGUCGGAACAAUAAGGCACUCUGAGGAAGGGGAGCCAGCCUUGGAGGAGAGACAGGUUUCUAUCUCCACCCUCCCCCGUUGCUUCGUUCCCUCCAGCCAAUUUGACCACCCCCUCUUAUCCUGUGGAACCCCUCUCAAGAAGGUGAACAGGGGACACUUCCCUGGGGGUCCAAUGGCUAAGGCUCCGUGCUUCCAAUGUAGGAGGCCCAGAUUCAAUCCCUAGUCAGGGAACUAGAUCCUACAUGCCGCAACUAAAGAUCCCGUGUGCCACAGCUGAGACCUGGCACAGCCAAAUAAAUAUUUUAAAAUAAAUUUAUUUAUUUAUUUAUUUUUGGCUGCGUUGGGUCUUCGUUGCUGCACGUGGACUUCCUCUAGUUGCAGCGAGCGGGGGCUACUCUUCGUUGCAGUGUGUGGGCUUCUCGUUGCGGUGGCUUCUCUUGUUUCGGAGCAUAGGCUCUAAGUGCGCGGGCUCUAGACCACAGGCUCAGUAGUGCCGCACGGGCUUAGUUGCUCCGAGGCAUGUGGGAUCUUCCUGGACCAGGGCUCGAACCCGUGUCCCCUGCAUUGGCUGGCGGAUUCUUAACCAUUGCGCCACCAGGGAAGUCCUAAAUAAAUACUUUUUUAAAAAAAAGGUGAACAGGAACUUAAAAGGGUAAAUGGUCUCCCUCCAGCUCUUCCCUUUGAACUUGUGUGUUGAUCUGUGCAGGUUAUGUUCCUGCCUUGCUUAUCUUCCUUUGUAAUACCUGAUGAUUAAAGGACAGUUUUCAGAAGACUAAAAACUGGAAUGUAAGAAUGAGCCUUCCCCGGGGGUCCCUAAGUGCUUCCCUGUCCUCCUUUUAAUCAGUGACAGUGCAGUCCUCCCAGGAUUGCUCCAGACUUCCCUGUGUGUAACUUCCUACCUAGGUUAAUAGAGUGGUUCACCAAGAGUCCGGUAAUAUGUUGCCAAGGAUCCCUAUAUAUUAUGCCUGUUUAAUUUCCCAAAUUUCAAGUGACUGUUGGUAUCUUAACACAGAAGCUUUGACUAAUGUAUUUGUCUCCUAAUGAAUCACCCAGACCCAGGGUCUUUGUUUCGGUCAUUCCACCUCUCUUAACAGGAAACCCAGCAGAAUCAGGCUGAGGUCUAUUCAUUCGUGGUCUUAUGGAGCAGACUUGGUUAUAAAGCUUCUGGAUCAUCAGGGUUUGAAGAACUCUAAGUAAACGAGGAUGGUGUUAUCUAGAGGAAGCUGGAGAUGAAUUCUUUGUAGCAUGAAUUACCACACAUGACCUGCCAGGCCACAGAGAACCAGAGUCACUACUCAGCCAGGUGGGGGGCCGAGGCACACCGCAGCUCACAGCCCCCUCCCGACUGCUGUAGCCAUCCUUCUGCCUGGGCCUUCCCACCUUGAUCUCCUUGACAUUCGGGUUCCACUCGCCCAUGGCCUCCAUGUGCUCCACGAGCUCUUCGUAAAGCCUCUCCACGGGCUGGUCCACUACCACCUCCAGCCGGAACACCUUGCCCACGUCUGGGAUCACUUUACUCAACACUUCGUCCCCAUUCGCCUAUCGGCAGGGAAGAGAGGAGCCCCAAGGGAAAGCCCUCCUGGUCACUGAGGAUGCCCAGGGCCCUCUGCAUGGCCUCCUCUCCCUGCUGGAUAUAGGCCAGUUCUUGGUUGCUGUAGAGAGUGUCUUCCAGCUGAGAACCUGGACACAAAGCCACGGAGAGACUGAGCUUCCUAGCCUCCCACGAGCUUUCACCCCUUUCAUCUCUGAAGAGCCCAGACCAAAGCCAUAUGGUCCAGCCUGCAGGUUAAGUUAGACACAGGGGACAGGGAGGGGGGUCUAGCCAUGAACAAUGCCAUUCCCAUCAAAGUGAGUGAGGACACCUGGGGGCUGCGGGGGAAGGGACCAGAGCUACAUGCACAUCGUUUGCCCGCCCCCCCCCGGAGCCCCCCGCCGCUGGUAGAAGCCCCAGAAGCCUCAGCACUUACUGAGCAGAGAACCGCGACGCCGAACCUGGUUAAUCCAGGCAGCUGGGGUCGGGCCCCCCGGGGCCCUGCGGUUCAGCUCCUGGCCGAUGGCCAGCACAGCCUGGUGCCUCAGCCCUGCAGGGAAGGGAGGGAAACUGUCGCUUAGGAGCAGAAAAGCCCCUCAGAGAAUGUUCCACCCCUUCAUCUCAUCACAGAGGAGGAAGCUGGUCUGGGGCAGAAAGUGACUUGAUGAGGAAUACCUCCAGGGCCAGAAACCUGCCUGCCUUCUGGGCUGGCCGGGCCUGGAGGCAGGGCCACACUCAAGCUUGCUGAAGUUUCCUUCUUGAAAGGGAGAGAAGCUUUGAACAACCUAUCCUGCUACAGAAGGGGAAUUACAGACACCCGUCCCCGAGGUCUGUGUGGCCUCUGCGCUUGCCAACACAGCUUCCUGGAGUCCAGGCUGAUUCCUGCCUCUGCCACCAUGGCUCGGGCUUCCCUGGCACCCUUGGUACCUAUCCUAGAGACAGGCAGAGUCAGGAAGAAGCCAAGACAGCUCGGAGCCCUGGAGGGGAGGCCGGGGAUGACAGAGUCUGCAAGGCACCCAGGAACCUUCGUAUCCAGCUGCGUUCUUCAGCGCAGGGGACACUGAGUCGCUGACCUACAGGACACCCUGAAAGGACUUCAGGAAGGUGAUCAGGAUGCGGCACACUGUGCUCUGGGGAGACAGGCAAGUGAGCCCUUAGACAGUUACCAAUCUUACAAUGCUUUAGAAAGUUCUUAUGAAUCUGGAUUCUUACAUCUUCUCAUACUUAGAAAAGCACUAAAGUCAUGAACGGAGAAACCCGUUGCUUGUGACCAGGAGCAACCUUCUACCAAAAUGUGUGCUUGAGUGCAGUCGACAGUUUUGCUGACCGUGAAGGAGCACAGAGCUAACUUCUCUCCUCUGUCUGAACACUAUGAGGAUUCAGAACCUUGGUAGCAGCAAGGGCCUUUUAUUCCCAUCCACCUCCUCAGCGAGUCCAGACGAAUUUGGGGGACACGGGUUUGAGCCCUGGUCCGGGAAGAUCCCACAUGCCGCAGAGCAACUAAGCCCGUCUGCCACAACUACUGAGCCUGUGUGUCACAACUACUGAAGCCCACAUGCCUAGAGCCCGUUCUCCGCAACAAGAGAAGCCACCGCAAUGAGAAGCCUGCGCACCACAACGAAGAGUAGCCCCCGCUCGCCGCAAUGAGAGAAAGCCGGUGCACAGCAACGAAGACCCAACGCAGCCAAAAGUUGACCUUGAGGUUGCUUCUGAGCUGGAUUCACCUGGCAAGAAGGUCGGGGGUCGAGAGAAUCACAUUGAAUUUGGCCCUGGGCCUGGGCCUGCCCCCCAGAAAGGAUGGAACGGACAGGACCUGCCUGGAGCCAGGCCGAGUGCCUAGUGUCCAGAGGGGACAGGUGAGGCCCACACGCCCCCUUCAGGCCGUGCUGGCGCAGUGGGAUGCGGCCAGUGACCCGGAGAAACGCCUGUCCCGGUCUCCGCUCAGAGCAGUGGCUGCCUGGCGGCCUGGCCCGCCCUCCAGGGCCCCCGCGCCCGCCGCCCGCAUGAGCUGUGAGGCCUUAACCACCCAGCCUUCUGAAACUGGCUUGUCCCUUACUGUGGGUCCCCCUAGGGGGGCUGUCUCGGUCCUGAUUUGUGUCAUGGCGUGCGCAUGUUUGCUGUCUCCUCUCUGGGGCUGGUUCCCCUGCCCUCCCAGUGCUCAGCUCCCCGCGGCGGCGGCUCAGGGCAGGUUCCUGCUCCUUCUCUACAGAGAGCAGCUGGGGAGCUGACUCUGACUGAGGAACGCUGCCUGUGGGCUUUGUUUCCAGCCCCCUCAGAGUCACAGGGAAGCUGGCACCAGAGGGAGAGCCUUGGCCUCUUGUUCGUCUCCAGCCCGAGCCAGCGGUGUGGAAAGAGGGCGCGGAGGGAAGUCAAGGCUGGAGAGAGAGGCAGAGGUCAGAGCCAGCUGGGUGGGCAUGGGAAGAUUCCUCCGCAGGUUCCCGGGAAGCAGAGGCCAGGAGUUGAGGAGGGGACCUGGAGCUGGUGUGGCCCGGCCCCGAGGAGAACUUCCUCAUCCAGGGAUUGAACCCACGUCCCCUGCACUGGAAGCACGGAGUCUUAACCACUGGACCGCCAGGGAAGCCCUGUUAUCAUAUUUGUACAGAGGAGACUAAGUACAAGGAGCUGAGAGGUGCCGCUGGACCAAGUUCGGAGAGCUCUGAAGUGAAGAAACCGGGACGCACAGCCUGUGCUCUUCACCUUUUUUUUUUUUUAUUGAAGUACAGUUGAUUUACAGUGUUGUGUUAGUUGCUGCUGUACAGCAAAGUGACUCAGUUAUACAUACAUAUAUAUAUAUAUCCUUUUUCAUAUUCUUUUCCAUUAUGUUUAUCACAGGAUAUUGAGUAUAGUUCCCUGUGCUCUACAGUAGGACCUUGUUGUUUAUCCAUUCUCUGUAUAAUAGUUUGCAUCUGCUAAUCCCAAACUCCCACUCCAUCCCUCUCCCACCCGCCUCCCCCUUGGCAACCACAAGUCUGUCCUCUAUGUCUGUGAGUUUGUUUCUGUUGCGUAGAUAAGUUCAUUUGUGUCAUAUUCUAGAUUCCACAUAUAAGUGAUAUAUGGUAUUUAUCUUUGUCUGGCUUACUUCACUUAGUAUGAUAAUCUUUAGGUCCAUCCAUGUAGCUGCAGAUGGCAUUAUUUCAUUCUUUUUUACGCCUGUGUGCUCUUCACGUUUUAAAAUCUCCUGUUUCUCUCUGAAAAGCAGGGCCCAUAUUUGCCUCUCAUGCCUGACAAAUCUCAGGGUGAUGCUCAGCAUGCCCAGCUAUCCCCUUACACUUGUUCCCUUGUCCUCGUCUGCCUGUUUCCAGCAGGAGCCCUGGCAGAGCUGGAGGAGUAGACAGCUAGGGGAGUGUGAACCAGGGUGGACAGCCCCAGAGCUUUGGGACAGACGUUGGCGCACCAAUCAUCUCCAGACUCUUCAUGCCUGGGGGGCUGUGGUCUCCAGUGAGGGCAGUAAGAGAACAUCUCCACGUUCAGUGUAAGGAUCUCUGCUAAUCACUCCACUCCGGGAUGCUCGUUAUCUGGGACAAGUAUGUCCUAAGCAGAGAGAACAGGAAAUUCCGGCCUCGUCCAGAGCCUGCUGCAUCUGCUCUGCCUGCUGGCCUGCACCGUCUGCCGUCUGCACCUCGCUCUGCCUGACCUGCCACCCAUACUCCUGUGAGCAAAACUGAGGCCACUCUCCAGCCAUCACAUCUGUGUCAUACCCCUGGGGCUCAUGCUGAUGUGGCAUCCCUGAGAAGCCCUGCACAAUGGCAGCGUGAGGGCAUCUGGUUCUGCUAAGUAUCCAGGGCCUGUUGGGAGUUUAUCCGAGCAGGGUGGGAGAGCAGAUACUGUGGCUUAAAUUCAGCCGACAACAUGUGACGUAAGGUCAAGGGCCAAGGAAAGGGGAAAAGAACAGCUGGGAGAGAGAGAGGCUGCUGUACCCAGUUAUAUCAGAAUAAAGAUCGCCAGGAAAGGGGCUGCAGUAGAUCUUCCUUGUUUGUUUGUUUUCCUUGAAAGUGGUCUCAUGGGAACCUCUACUGGAAGAAACUAUUAAAGACAAAACAAAGGUAUAGAACUGAGAUUGAUUCUGAAGCCUGAUUAACAGUAGAGGAGUACUCGCAGUGGUCCAGGAAAAAAGCACGAUUUCAGUACCUGCAAAAAGCCUGGACUGGGCAAAGCUGAGGGCAGGCUCUGAGCAGCAGGGAGACAGAACAGGAGGGAAGCAGGGAGUCUCAUUCCAUGCUUCAGCUCUCUUUGCUGCUGCCUGUGUGACAAAGGUCUAAAGGCAAUAUGUUAUUACACGUAACAACUGAAGCCCAGCUAUGGCUUGGAAAUUCCUGAACUACUGUGGAAAUUCUCUCCUUUGAAUCAUGACUCUUUUGAUUGCAUUUGGAAUUCUGUUUGAAGGAGGUUGAAAAGACGAGUACAGUGAAUCCGAAUCUCUUGAAGGUGCCGGAUAUUCUGAAACAGUGGUGCUCAGAAAAAAGCAGAAUGCUUACAGAAUGCUGUAAUUCUGCUGACUCUCAAAGAACAUCUUCUUGUAGUGAAAGUUAGCCACCUCUUCCACAAGUCUCCCCUUUGUGGGGAAGUUAAUAACAAAUUCCGGCUAUUCAACAGUAAGGUUAGAGAUGAAACACACUAGAUAAAUCAUUAAGUGCGACGGUUCUUCACAAAUUAGCUACCUUGAAACCAACCCAAUGAUGAAUAGCUCAGAAGUCUGCAUUUGGCGCAGUUUUAAAAACACCUGAGCUCAUAAAAUGUGGUAUGUUUAAUACUAUAAAAUAACUCAAACAUAGGAAUUGGCUAUAAAUAUCUUCCCUGCAAAGAAUGUCUUUGCUCAACAGACUAUAAAAUAAGUAUCUGGAAUAGUUUUACAGUUAAAACUGAGAAUCAGGGAGGAAAAGUGACUUGCUUGAGCCCAAGGUGCUAGAGAGAACAGAGUCCAGGUUUCGGAAAGUACAGCCUCUUACGCUUCCUGUGUGAUCAACAUCAUUCCAGAAAAGGGGCAUCACUUGGCUUGGCUGAGAAUAACCUAGAUAUAUCAGUCACUGCAACACGAUUUUAUCUGUGCUUUUUGAUCACAGCAUAGGCGGCUCAAGACUCAAUCCAAAGGACUAGAAAACCUAACGAAAUUAACAAUACUUAGAGAAGUCGUUAUGUGGAUCUCAAGGGAACGCAGCUGGGAUAGCUGUUGGUGAAGCAAACAGCUGCUUCUCAAACAAACACCAGCUUCUCUUAUAAUCAGUAAGUGCAAAACUUCAGGGAGAGAGCCCUCCUCAAGCCUGAAAACUUGUUUUUCUUAUCAGAAAAAAACCAUGACAAGGGGAGAAAGGAGGACCCACAGGAUAUCUGGUAUGAAAAUACUCCUUCAUAAGUAACUAGUAGGUUGGAAUUGUGACAGAAGGGAGAUCCCAGCAUGUGUGUGUAUGGACUGCUUAUACCUUUGAGAGCAGAAAUUUAAUGACUAUUCACUGAAGGCAACUCAAACUUGGGAAAUAAUAACAUUGCAAUUUUGAGAUUCAUAUUUUAUUUACAAGCAAAUGAAGAAUAUUCCCUGUAACCAUUAAUUUGGGGGGAGAAGAGCAAUAUAAAGAAGUUGCUGGCUCCACAGUGACGUGUGAAAGGAGUCCAUGCCACUGUUUCUUUAAAUGAUUUUGUUAUUAAAAAAACCGAAACAAAACGCACAAUUUCUUCAUGUUGCAUAUGUGAAAGAAUUCCAAAUAAAAAUGACUUUUCAAAGCUC